rnacentral:rRNA from 1 species
UACGUAGGCAGCAAGCGUUGUUCGGAGUUACUGGGCGUAAAGGGUGCGUAGGUGGCUCUAUAAGUAUGGUGUAAAAUCUCCCGGCUUAACUGGGAGGGUGCGCCGUAGACUGUGGGGCUAGAGUGUGGGAGAGGAAAGUGGAAUUCCUGGUGUAGCGGUGAAAUGCGUAGAUAUCAGGAGGAACACCGGUGGUGUAAACGGCUUUCUGGACCAUAACUGACACUGAGGCACGAAAGCGUGGGUAGCAAACAGG